rnacentral:rRNA from 1 species
GUGGGGAAUAUUGCACAAUGGGGGAAACCCUGAUGCAGCAACGCCGCGUGAGUGAUGACGGCCUUCGGGUUGUAAAGCUCUGUCUUCAGGGACGAUAAUGACGGUACCUGAGGAGGAAGCCACGGCUAACUACGUGCCAGCAGCCGCGGUAAUACGUAGGUGGCAAGCGUUGUCCGGAUUUACUGGGCGUAAAGGGAGCGUAGGUGGAUAUUUAAGUGGGAUGUGAAAUCCCCGGGCUUAACCUGGGGGCUGCAUUCCAAACUGGAUGUCUAGAGUGCAGGAGAGGAGAGUGGAAUUCCUAGUGUAGCGGUGAAAUGCGUAGAGAUUAGGAAGAACACCAGUGGCGAAGGCGACUCUCUGGACUGUAACUGACACUGAGGCUCGAAAGCGUGGGGAGCAAACAGGAUUAGAUACCCGAGUAGUCC